UACAGAGGUCUCAAGCGUUGUUCGGAUUCAUUGGGCGUAAAGGGUGCGUAGGCGGCGCGGUAAGUCGGGUGUGAAAUCUCGGAGCUUAACUCCGAAACUGCAUUCGAUACUGCCGUGCUUGAGGACUGGAGAGGAGACUGGAAUUUACGGUGUAGCGGUGAAAUGCGUAGAUAUCAAGAGGAAUACCUGAGGUGAAGACGGGUUGCUAGGCCGACACUGACGCUGAAGCGCGAAAGCCAGGGGAGCAAACGGG
rnacentral:rRNA from 1 species